UACAGAGGUCUCAAGCGUUGUUCGGAUUCAUUGGGCGUAAAGGGCGCGUAGGCGGCCUGAUAAGUAGGGGGUGAAAUCCUGCGGCUUAACCGCAGGGCUGCCUUCUAAACUGUCAGGCUUGAGCACAGUAGAGGCAGGUGGAAUUCCCGGUGUAGCGGUGGAAUGCGUAGAGAUCGGGAAGAACAUCAGUGGCGAAGGCGGCCUGCUGGGCUGUUGCUGACGCUGAGGCGCGAGCAGCGUGGGGAGCAAACAGG
rnacentral:rRNA from 1 species